UAUAGGGAAAUAUUGCUUUCUUUUAUAAACUAACACCAUACUUACUCCAUAUUUAGGUAUAGCUCUUUUCUGUAAUUGUUCACAUAGAAUUUUUACCUAUUAAAUCUCAUCAACUCCAACAGACUCGUUCAAGACAGAACCACCACUUUGCUCAGAAUCCACAGCACCAAAGAGAACUCAAAUGCAAAGAGUGUGUGAAGCAAUCCGCGAUCAAGUGCAAAUCCGAACAGUGUGAUUCCUCCGUUGUUGUGCUGCAAAUAUGCCACUGCACAAAACAUUUUUAGUACUGUUAUGUGCAAUUGACCAGCACAAGAGAUAGAUUUAUGAAUACUUACCAAAUGCCUGCCUGGUUUGGAAAGACGAUGGAUUCUGUGAGGAAGUCGAGACCAAAAUGUCUGAAGAAUCGGCAUCAGUAACAGCGGAUUUGGAUACUAGAGUCUCAUCAACCUCCGGGACAAUGCAUUUCCCUUGGUCUGAUCUGGCGGAUGAAGAUGUCACGAUCAUAUGCCAUCUAGUUGCUAUGGACACGACGCCUUGAGCUCUAUGUGUGAUUCUAGCUGCUCCCAGUAUGCAUAGGAAGAAGCCACUUAACUGAACCACUGAACAAAUCACAAGGUCCCCUGAAUUGACGAAAGUUUUGUCAGACUUGAAUGCCAGAACCAGCAACAAUGCUCCCAGUUGACUAAUGGUAAUGGUAACCAAACAAGCAAUGAUAAAGAACCGAUAUCUGUGGCUUGUAACAGACAACUGUUUCUUAAUCCUAACAUGCUCCCUGAAUAUGACACCAGCAUACGAUUCGCAUCCGUCGAACAACUUAUGAAACCCUUCAAAUCUGAGUAUUUGGAGCUCACAAGUCAGCCGAAAUAGAACGCAGACCAACAGGAAAACGCCUGUCCUGUAAACCCACGAUGCCAACACCAACACAAACAUGAUAGAAUUCAUCGGAACACCUGAACUCAUGCAAGGUAAUGAUAUUUUCACUGAAGAGAAGAAGAUGAUUUUGUGUGCCAGUUCCACAAAAAAGGAUGGCAGUAGAAUGCACGCUAGGUAACGAAAAGCCUUAUCAAGUUCCCGGGAGUAUCCACGUCUGACAAACAAAGAAUCGUCUUGUAGCCCAUCCAGGAAUAAGAGCUGGCGCAGGCUAUACCUUCUAAAGAAACGGGAUAGGGUCAAGAAAGCCAUUAGAGCCAAGCCAGACUCAGGAAACUGCACCAGGUUGUUGAAAGAUAUGGGGUCAUCAGAUGCUGCUGAUGAGGAUGGGACUUUAAUAGAGAGGGAGCUUAUGGUGGGGACAAUAAUAGUGAAGAAUAUGAAUGUGAAAUAUGAUAUAAAUUUUCCUAUGCAAGAGGAGUGAUCAAGGGCGCACCAUUUGAGGCUUAUUCGAAAAUUGCGUAGUUCAUCGAAGAGUAAGGAUUUUGACAUUGCAUAUGAUGGUUGGAGUAAAAAGGGUACGUUAGCAUGCGCUGCUUCAUUGUUUUGAUCAGGUAAUGCCGUCAAAUGUCGAUUGGAGAAUUGGGCAUCGUUAAGGGUGUCAGCAGAAGUGGUGGAGGUGAUCAUGGUUGGAG
rnacentral:misc_RNA from 1 species